AGUGAACGCUGGCGGUAGGCCUAACACAUGCAAGUCGAACGGCAGCACAGUAAGAGCUUGCUCUUACGGGUGGCGAGUGGCGGACGGGUGAGGAAUACAUCGGAAUCUACUUUUUCGUGGGGGAUAACGUAGGGAAACUUACGCUAAUACCGCAUACGACCUACGGGUGAAAGCAGGGGAUCUUCGGACCUUGCGCGAUUGAAUGAGCCGAUGUCGGAUUAGCUAGUUGGCGGGGUAAAGGCCCACCAAGGCGACGAUCCGUAGCUGGUCUGAGAGGAUGAACCGGCACAACGGAAACGGGGCACGGGCCAAGCUCCUAAGGGAGGGAACAGGUGGGAAAUAUGGAAAAAGGGGGGAAGCCUUGUUCAAGCAAUACGGGUUGGUGAAAGAAGGCUUCCGGUUUGUAAAGCCUUUUGGUGGGGAAGAAAAGGCAGCAGUUAAAUACCCGGCUGUUUGGAGGGUACCAAAAGAUUAAGCACCGGUAAAUUCCUU
rnacentral:rRNA from 1 species